rnacentral:ncRNA from 2 species
GCGCAGGGCACACGCGCCGGUGCCCCUUCGGGGGCUUCGAAAGGGAAUGCGGUGCGGGCGGGUUUUCCGCCUCAUUCCGCGGCUGACCCUGCAACUGUAAGCGGCGAGCCCGUGGGCCACAUGCCAUUGGGGAUAUCCUCCCCGAGAAGGCGGCCCGCCCGGCCCUGACCCGCGAGCCAGGAGACCUGCCGGCGUGAUGUCGCUCUU